AGAAGAGUUGGAGAAAAAAAAACGCACUGAUUUAAUGAAAGAAAUAAUGAUUGUUAUUUCUGGCCGCAUUCAACAAAUGGUCUUUAGGCACGACGCCGCUCGGAUUAUUCAGUGUUGCUUAAAAUACGGCUCUAAAGAGCAGCGCUCACUUAUUAUUAGCGAACUUCAAGAGCGUUUUGUUGAGCUUUUUAAGCAGAAAUAUUCCAAAUUUCUCGUACCAAAAAUGCUUAAAUACGG